UGUGUUGGGGGGGAUUCAAGGGUCUCGGUCAGGUAGCCUAUAAAGCAAAGCCGAUAGCGUCUGUUGAUACUGACUACAGGGGGAYCAGGCGUACAGAGGAGACACUCCCACACACGGCAACUCUACAGACAUGUCAGACUCCGAGAUCGCCGCUCCCGCUGAGGCCCCCGUCCCUGCCGCAUGUGCAAGCAUCAAGGCGGACCUGGACAAAUGUGUGAAGGAGGGCGGUGACUGUAAGGAUCUGAUGGAGGCGUUUGCAGCCUGUCUGAAGAGUGCAGCGGAGGCGUCGUGAGGAGAGGAGGAGCUAGACUCACAGGAAAUGCCCACUGCAUUGAGUUCUCCAUGUUUCCCAGUAUUCCCUUCUGCACAACGAGCACUGGGCUGACUGAUACUGGCGGUGUUCGGCGCCUGGCACGAAACCCCCCACCC